rnacentral:rRNA from 1 species
CCUACGGGGUGCAGCAGUAGGGAAUCUUGCUCAAUGGGCGAAACCCUGAAGCAGCAACGCCGCGUGGAGGAUGAAGGUUUUCGGAUUGUAAACCUCUUUUGUUAGAGAAGAUAAUGACGGUAUCUAACGAAUAAGCACUGGCUAAUUACGUGCCAGCAGCUGCGGUAAUACGGAGGUGGCAAGCGUUACUCGGAAUGACUGGGCGUAAAGAGCGCGUAGGCGGGUUAGCAAGUCAGAUGUGAAAUCCUAUGGCUUAACCAGAGAACUGCAUUUGAAACUGUUAAUCUAGAGUAUGGGAGAGGUAAGUGGAAUUCUUGGUGUAGGGGUAAAAUCCGUAGAGAUCAAGAGGAAUACUCAUUGCGAAGGCGACCUGCUAGAACAUAACUGACGCUGAGGCGCGAAAGCGUGGGGAGCAAACAGGAUUAGAUACCCCAGUAGUC